rnacentral:rRNA from 1 species
AUUGAACGCUGGCGGCAGGCCUAACACAUGCAAGUCGAGCGGAUGAAGGAAGCUUGCUUCCCGAUUCAGCGGCGGACGGGUGAGUAAUGCCUAGGAAUCUGCCUAUUAGUGGGGGAUAACUCGGGGAAACUCGGGCUAAUACCGCAUACGUCCUACGGGAGAAAGUGGGGGAUCUUCGGACCUCACGCUAAUAGAUGAGCCUAGGUCGGAUUAGCUAGUUGGUGAGGUAACGGCUCACCAAGGCGACGAUCCGUAGCUGGUCUGAGAGGAUGAUCAGCCAAACUGGAACUGAGACACGGUCCAGACUCCUACGGGAGGCAGCAGUGGGGAAUAUUGGACAAUGGGCGAAAGCCUGAUCCAGCCAUGCCGCGUGUGUGAAGAAGGUCUUCGGAUUGUAAAGCACUUUAAGUUGGGAGGAAGGUCUGUAAGCUAAUAUCUUGCAGUCUUGACGUUACCAACAGAAUAAGCACCGGCUAACUCUGUGCCAGCCGCCGCCGUAA